AAUCAGCUGACGAGUCCCAAAUAGGACGAAACGCAAGUCAAACUGAAU
rnacentral:hammerhead_ribozyme from 1 species